CAUUGAUUUGCCAAGUCUCUGUGAAUAACUAUAAUUUCUUUAUAAAGGCAUUUAAUCAUGAAUCACCAAGCAAGCGUGUUUCAUUUUAAGCAGUUACAAAAGGACAAUAUCAAACUCGCUUGCAAUAUGAAACCCGAAAGUGCUGAAGGCUCCAGAGAGCCGAGGUUGGUUGCUUUUGCUUUCAGGCUGGCCAGCAGACCGCAGUGGAUCCAGUUGCUGGGGCUGUAGUGCUCUCCGAAGUUGCCCGCUUGCGGAGGGGUAACUGCUGUGGCUCUCUCUGCGCGCAGACACGCAACAGUCAGAGUGUGAGAUCAUCUCGUCCUCUCCCCUGCUCCCUGUGCUGGGCUGUACCCUGAGAUGAGCUAUUUUCAAAGCGAAGUGUCGAUAUGACCAAGUUAACGUGAAAGACCAGUCCAAAAAGAAGCGUUUCAACUCUUUUUUUUUUUUUUUUUAAAUUAUGAGUAUUAACAUUACAUUCUGCGAGAGCGGCUGCGAAACCGAAGCUCAUCAUCUCUUUAUGGCUACCACUGCUGGAAUACUGGCAUUUGCUGUACCUUAUCCUGGCUCACAGUGAAUGCAUUUUAAUUGUCAUAAAACGCAAACUGAACCAUACGUCAACGUGUGUUUUAGACGGCGCAUCAUUGAUCCUCCUUUCCCUUUCUUUUGCGCUACGAUUAAUGGGUUACA